GACGAACGCUGGCGGCGUGCCUAAUACAUGCAAGUCGAGCGGACCGACGGGAGCUUGCUCCCUUAGGUCAGCGGCGGACGGGUGAGUAACACGUGGGUAACCUGCCUGUAAGACUGGGAUAACUCCGGGAAACCGGGGCUAAUACCGGAUGCUUGAUUGAACCGCAUGGUUCAAUCAUAAAAGGUGGCUUUCAGCUACCACUUACAGAUGGACCCGCGGCGCAUUAGCUAGUUGGUGAGGUAACGGCUCACCAAGGCGACGAUGCGUAGCCGACCUGAGAGGGUGAUCGGCCACACUGGGACUGAGACACGGCCCAGACUCCUACGGGAGGCAGCAGUAGGGAAUCUUCCGCAAUGGACGAAAGUCUGACGGAGCAACGCCGCGUGAGUGAUGAAGGUUUUCGGAUCGUAAAACUCUGUUGUUAGGGAAGAACAAGUACCGUUCGAAUAGGGCGGCACCUUGACGGUACCUAACCAGAAAGCCACGGCUAACUACGUGCCAGCAGCCGCGGUAAUACGUAGGUGGCAAGCGUUGUCCGGAAUUAUUGGGCGUAAAGCGCGCGCAGGCGGUUUCUUAAGUCUGAUGUGAAAGCCCCCGGCUCAACCGGGGAGGGUCAUUGGAAACUGGGGAACUUGAGUGCAGAAGAGGAGAGUGGAAUUCCACGUGUAGCGGUGAAAUGCGUAGAGAUGUGGAGGAACACCAGUGGCGAAGGCGACUCUCGGGUCUGUAACUGACG
rnacentral:rRNA from 1 species